UAUAUUGUAGAUCCUCCCACCAACUUUAUCAAGUCAUGAAAAGGAUUAGAGAUAAGUCAAUCCAGGGUACGUAAAUCAGUCAUACUGAUUAACCUUAACAAUAUGGGUCAACUCAAGUCACCUAGCAAUCUAAUCAGCCUAAUGACUCGGGCUUAAUCUUUGAGCUUGAAUUAAGGUCCAUUUCGUUUGAUCAAAGAUAUGG
rnacentral:lncRNA from 1 species